rnacentral:rRNA from 1 species
GAUGAACGCUGGCGGCGUGCCUAAUACAUGCAAGUCGAGCGAACGGACGAGAAGCUUGCUUCUCUGAUGUUAGCGGCGGACGGGUGAGUAACACGUGGAUAACCUACCUAUAAGACUGGGAUAACUUCGGGAAACCGGAGCUAAUACCGGAUAAUAUUUUGAACCGCAUGGUUCAAAAGUGAAAGACGGUCUUGCUGUCACUUAUAGAUGGAUCCGCGCUGCAUUAGCUAGUUGGUAAGGUAACGGCUUACCAAGGCAACGAUGCAUAGCCGACCUGAGAGGGGGAUCGGCCACACGAGAACUGAGACACGGUCCAGACUCCUACGGGAGGCAGCAGUAUGGAAUCGUCCGCAAUGGGCGAAAGCCUGACGGAGCAACGCCGCGUGAGUGAUGAAGGUCUUCGGAUCGUAAAACUCUGUUAUUAGGGAAGAACAUAUGUGUAAGUAACUGUGCACAUCUUGACGGUACCUAAUCAGAAAGCCACGGCUAACUACGUG